UGGGUUGUAGCUCAGUGGGGGAGUGCUUGCCUUGCAUGCAUGAGGCACUGAGUUCAGUCCUCAGCAUCACAU
rfam:Ictidomys tridecemlineatus contig078026, whole genome shotgun sequence.